UGGGGUGCUCGAGUGGCGAACGGGUGAGUAACACGUGAGUAACCUGCCCUUGACUUUGGGAUAACUUCAGGAAACUGGGGCUAAUACCGGAUAGGAGCUCCUGCUGCAUGGUGGGGGUUGGAAAGUUUCGGCGGUUGGGGAUGGACUCGCGGCUUAUCAGCUUGUUGGUGGGGUAGUGGCUUACCAAGGCUUUGACGGGUAGCCGGCCUGAGAGGGUGGCCGGCCACAUUGGGACUGAGAUACGGCCCGG
rnacentral:rRNA from 1 species